AGUGUGAUUGCUGGAUCAUAUGGUAAGAAUAUGUUUAGCUUCAUUAGAAACUGCCAAACUGUGUUCCAAAAUGGCUGUAUCAUUUUGCAUUCCCACCAGCAAU
rnacentral:pre_miRNA from 1 species